AAGACUAUAGACCUGCGGAGUACCUGCGGAGGGAUCAUUACUGAGUGAGGGCCCUCUGGGUCCAACCUCCCACCCGUGUUUAUUGUACCUUGUUGCUUCGGUGGGCCCGCCGCAAGGCCGCCGGGGGCUUCCGCCCCGGGCCCGCGCCCACCGGAGACAAACUGAACUCUGUCUGAAUGUUGCAGUCUGAGUAAAAACUUAAUAAGUUAAAACUUUCAACAAUGGAUCUCUAGAUCGGAA
rnacentral:misc_RNA from 1 species